GACGAACGCUAGCGGCGUGCUUAACACAUGCAAGUCGAACGGGAUCUUUGUUGUAACUCUUUCGUUAAUGGCGAUGAACAGAAAGUGGCGAACGGGGGAGGAACCCGUGAGCAACCUACCGUACACAGGGGGAUAGCCGUGGGAAACGACUAGUAAUACCUCUUGAGACCAUAGAUUCGUAUGUAAUAGUGCUCAAGGAUUUAUCGGUGUAAGAAGGGCUUGCGUCUUAUUUGCUAGUUGGAAGGGUAAAGGCCUACCAAGGCGACGAUCAGUAGCCGAUAUGAGAGGAGGGACAGCCACAUGGGAACUGAGACACGGUCCAAAAUCCUACGGUAGGCAGCAGUGGGGAAUAUGGCACAAUGGGGGGAACCGUGAUGCAGCGACGCCGCGUAAGCUAAGAAGCUUUUCGAAUCGUAAAACUCUGUACAAUGAGAAGAUAAUGACGGUAUCAUAGGAAGAAGCCCCGGCUAAAUCCGUG
rnacentral:rRNA from 1 species